rnacentral:rRNA from 1 species
UACAGGGGGUGCAAACGUUGCUCGGAAUCAUUGGGCGUAAAGCGCACGUAGGCGGUUCGUUAUGUCGGAUGUGAAAGCCUUUUGGCUUAACCGAGGAAGUGCAUCCGAAACUGGCGAGCUAGAGUACUAAAGAGGAUCGCGGAAUUCCCGGUGUAGAGGUGAAAUUCGUAGAUAUCGGGAGGAACACCGGUGGCGAAGGCGGCGAUCUGGGUAGAUACUGACGCUGAGGUGCGAAAGCGUGGGGGAGCAAACAGG